rnacentral:rRNA from 1 species
CCUACGGGAGGCUGCAGUGAGGAAUAUUGGUCAAUGGCCGGGAGGCUGAACCAGCCAAGUCGCGUGAGGGAAGACGGCCCUACGGGUUGUAAACCUCUUUUGUCAGGGAGCAAGGUGCAGGUCGGGACCUGCUGUGAGAGUACCUGAAGAAAAAGCAUCGGCUAACUCCGUGCCAGCAGCCGCGGUAAUACGGAGGAUGCGAGCUUUAUCCGGAUUUAUUGGGUUUAAAGGGUGCGCAGGCGGAGGCACAAGUCAGCGGUACAAUCGCGGGGCUCAACCCCGCUCCGCCGUUGAAACUGUGUGCCUUGAGUGCGCGAAGGGUAGGCGGAAUGCGUGGUGUAGCGGUGAAAUGCAUAGAUAUCACGCAGAACUCCGAUCGCGAAGGCAGCCUACCGGCGCGCAACUGACGCUCAUGCACGAAAGCGUGGGUAUCGAACAGGAUUAGAUACCCGAGUAGUC